GCGUAAGCGCGCGCAGGCGGUUUCUUAAGUCUGAUGUGAAAGCCCACGGCUCAACCGUGGAGGGUCAUUGGAAACUGGGGAACUUGAGUGCAGAAGAGAAAAGCGGAAUUCCACGUGUAGCGGUGAAAUGCGUAGAGAUGUGGAGGAACACCAGUGGCGAAGGCGGCUUUUUGGUCUGUAACUGACGCUGAGGCGCGAAAGCGUGGGGAGCAAACAGGAUUAGAUACCCUGGUAGUCCACGCCGUAAACGAUGAGUGCUAAGUGUUAGAGGGUUUCCGCCCUUUAGUGCUGCAGCUAACGCAUUAAGCACUCCGCCUGGGGAGUACGGUCGCAAGACUGAAACUCAAAGGAAUUGACGGGGGCCCGCACAAGCGGUGGAGCAUGUGGUUUAUUUCGAAGCAACGCGAAGAACCUUACCAGGUCUUGACAUCCUGGGAGAACUCUAGAGAUAGAGCGUUCCCCUUCGGGGGACAGAGUGACAGGU
rnacentral:rRNA from 2 species